GGCCGGUUAGCUCAGUUGGUUAGAGCGUGGUGCUAAUAACGCCAAGGUCGCGGGUUCGAUCCCCGUACCCGUACGGGCCA